rnacentral:rRNA from 1 species
UACGAAGGGGGCUAGCGUUGUUCGGAAUUACUGGGCGUAAAGCGCGCGCAGGCGGUCCUUCCAGUCAGAGGUGAAAGCCCAGAGCUCAACUCUGGAACUGCCUUUGAAACUAGAGGACUUGGGUACGGGAGAGGUGAGUGGAAUUCCGAGUGUAGAGGUGAAAUUCGUAGAUAUUCGGAAGAACACCAGUGGCGAAGGCGGCUCACUGGCCCGUUACCGACGCUCAGGCGCGACAGCGUGGGGAG